rnacentral:rRNA from 1 species
CAAGAGAGUUUGAUCAUGACAGAUUGAACGCUGGCGGGAUGCUUUACACAUGCAAGUCGAACGGCAGCACGGACUUCGGUCUGGUGGCGAGUGGCGAACGGUGGUAUUGUAAUGCGGAACGUGCCUAGUAGCGGGGGAUAACUACGCGAAAGCGUAGCUAAUACCGCAUACGCCCUUCGGGGGAAAGCGGGGGACCUUCGGGCCUCGCACUAUUAGAGCGGCCGAUAUCGGAUUAGCUGGUUGGUGGGGUAACGGCUCACCAAGGCGACGAUCCGUAGCUGGUUUGAGAGGACGACCAGCCACACUGGGACUGAGACACGGCCAGACUCCUACGGGAGGCGGCAGUGGGGUACCUGGACAAUGGGGAAACCCUGAUCCAGCCAUCCCGCGUGUGCGAUGAAGGCCUUCGGGUUAUGGCAAAGCGCUUUUGGCAGGAAAGAAACGGCACCGGACCCAGCCACCGAUGCAACCGAAGAAGCCAGUACCUGCAGAAUAAGCACCGGCUAACUACGUGCCAGCAGCCGCGGUGGCCGUAGGGUGCAAGCGUUAAUCGGAAUUACUGGGCGUAAAGCGUGCGCAGGCGGUUCGGAAAGAAAGAUCUUGAAAUCAAACUUAACUUUGGAACUGCAUUUUUAACUACCGAGCUAGAGUGUGUCAGGGAGGUGGAAUUCCGCGUCGUAGCAGUGAAAUGCGUAGAUAUGCGGAGGAACGCCGAUGGCGAAGCGGCAUACGGGGAUAACACUGACGCUCAUGCACGAAAGCGUGGGGAGCAAACAGGAUUAGAUACCCUGGUAGUCCACGCCCUAAACGAUGUCAACUAGCUGUUGGGGCCUUCGGGCCUUGGUAGCGCAGCUAACGCGUGAAGUUGACCGCCUGGGGAGUACGGUCGCAAGAUUAAAACUCAAGAUUGACGGGGACCCGCACAAGAAGCGGUGGAUGAUGUGGAUUAAUUCGAUGCAACGCGAAAAACCUUACCUACCCUUGACAUGUCUGGAAUCCCGAAGAGAUUUGGGGAGUGCUCGCAAGAGAACCGGAACCUGGGUGCUGCAUGGCUGUCGUCAGCUCGUGUCGUGAGAUGUUGGGUUAAGUCCCGCAACGAGCGCAGCCUUGUCAUUAGUUGCUACGAAAGGGCACUCUAAUGAGACUGCCGGUGACAAACCGGAGAAGGUGGGGAUGACGUCAAGUCCUCAUGGCCCAUAUGGGUAGGGCUUCACACGUCAUGCAAUGGUCGGGACAGAGGGGUCGCCAACCCGCGAAGAGCCAAUCCAGAAACCCGAUCGUAGUCCGGAUCAUGAUCUGCAACUCGACUGCGUGAAGUCAGGAUCGCUAGUAAUCGCGGAUCAGCAUGUCGCGGUGCGUUCCCGGGUCUUGUACACACCGCCCGUCACACCAUGGGAGUGGGUUUUACCGAAGUAGUUAGCCUAACCGUAAGGAGGGCGAUUACCACGGUAGGAUUCAUGACUGGGGUGAAGUCGUAAUGAGCCAG